UACGUAGGAGGCGAGCGUUGUCCGGAAUUACUGGGUGUAAAGAGCGCGUAGGUGGGAGGCCAAGUCUGUGGUGAAAGCGCCCGGCUCAACUGGGCAUGGUCCAUGGAAACUGGUCACCUGGAGGACGGUAGAGGCGAGUGGAAUUCCCGGUGUAGUGGUGAAAUGCGUAGAGAUCGGGAGGAACACCAGUGGCGAAGGCGGCUCACUGGACCGGUACUGACGCUGAUGCGCGAAAGCGUGGGGAGCAAACGGG
rnacentral:rRNA from 1 species